GUUAACUUUUAGAAAGUAUUCUCGCACCGUAUAAAUACAUCUCAUUUUUCUCUGUUUUGUCAGUAGUUGUUUUUGGUAUUAUUCGUGCAACGUGGAAGCUAACUUAGUGGUUUGGUGUUCGUACAAAAAAGCAGUCCUAAAGAUCAUCUUAGUACUCUCAACCCGUAACCGCAAAUAGAAUAGCAGCAAUCUUAAGCAUGGACUUAAGUCAACUGAAUCAAACCUGUCUUGCAGAAGGUGAUUUUGAGCAGCCGAUUGUCAAACUGCAUGAAUUGCCGAUAGGCGUUCCGUUUAAAAUUACUAGAGCCAAAAUUGUUAAUACAAAAUUUGGCAAUUCCGUGUUGCUGCAAUUAGAAAAUUCCGUAGUAUUUCUUCCUACUCGCGUGACAGAAGCUUUCCGUCCGAGACUAGAACACUUUGCGUCGGGGCAGUACAAACUGGUCUACGAGGGAUCCAAAGAUAUUGGAAAGCCCAACUCUUUAAAGAAAUUCAAAAUAAUUCAAAAUUAAUCAACAUAUUAUACAGGAUUAUGGUCAAACAACUUACAUUAGAAAGCCUUUGUAUUAUAACAAUUUGCGAAAAUAUUAGGUGUAGUGCUGAUUUUUUGCUUGAGUCACCUUUGCCUUGGAAACUAACGAUACUAAUAUUUAAAUAUUAUUCGAAAUAUAGAUGGAAGUACCUUAAACAAUUAGCGCUCCAGUCUGAUGGUAAUUCUUUAUUAAAUUUAGAAUUCAUUCUGUUGAAUAAGACAUUUGGAUCGUCUUACAGAAAUAGCAUUUUGGCAACUCCAACCAUUGAUUUUGACGGAGAAUCCGCUUACUGUUUAUGGGUCAGUUAUUACAGGAUAAAAUAUUCGGAAAUUUUAGUUUGUAAAUCUUGUCACUUUAUAUU